CAGGGAAGUUGGAAAGAACUUUGCUGAGAUGGGGCUGGGCAUGGUGAAGAGAAGCAAAACUUAAAAGUAUUUCACCUUAUUUCCUGAGCUAUAUUAUUACCUGUCCCUCUUACUCCCUGUGCUCUAAGGCAUUUACACAUAAGCAUCCAUUGUGAUUUUACCCAGACAGUGGAACAUGAAGCAGGCAAUUCUGAGUCAUUGCUUUCCUGCUGGCUAAGCAACCUCUGGUGCAAAACAUUGCAUACGUUUUGUUAGCUGUGUUGGAGGAUUAGGGCUAGCAUACCCUGAAAACUAUCUUACUGAGGGCUGGACAAGGAAUAAGCACCACUGUCAAAUUUUCUAUGUUGUGACUCUCACAGAAGCCAAAUGACCCAAGUGUGAAAGCACACUGGGCAGCAAGUACACCACGUGCUCUGCUGAUGCACCGUAGUGUCAGGACCGCCUGUGCCUGACUUGGCAGUAGUGCCAUAGCAUACGGAGGUGCCAAAUCUGGGCAUGCCAAGGCUCGCUCAGGGAAGGCAGAAAUGCUGCACAAUCCUUUGUCUUCUUAUCUUCCCUCCUCCCACCCCAUUUCUGUAUAGUGCCAUUUUCUUCCCAGAAUAAGGCCCUGGAGAAGCACCUAGAGCUUAUUUAAUCCUUAUGUAGGUGAAACUUUAUAAAGAGGAAGCAGAAUAGAAGGCUGCAUUAGAUAUUCCCUGCCAUGGCUAUUCCACUUGAAACAUCCCUUCUCAUUGUCCAGAACUGCAAGGAGUCUGAAAUUUUACCGUGCUUAUGAGCUACCACAUUUCAUAUAUUCUGGGAGAAUAUAUGAGACCCCUUAGAGACAAAGAGUUUUAUUUCUCACAGUACAAUGGGUAGCAUGAGCUGCAUAAUCACCUCAAUUCCCUUUGCCCUCACGUCCCUCGUGGAGAGUGCAGAGCUUGGCCCAGGUGGACAAGUGAGUUUGUGUCACACACACACACACGCACACACACGAUGAGUUUGUGUCACAGAUAAGAAACUUCGAGCUUAGGAAACACCAGUCUUGUAAAGGGGCUGAUGGCAAGCCUGCUUAACCUUUGCCCCAGAGAAAGACAUUAAAUGUUAUCUUGGUUAAGAAACAAAUUUGUCCUUGAUCUGGGGGGAAGGAUGGAAGGGUAAUGUAUCUGUCAUAUGAUUUUUCUGUAUAGACUCAAAAGGCAGUACAGAACAAAACUGUCAGUCCCUCUUGGUCAGAAGACAUGAGAAACGCAAGAAACCCAUGAAUUCUCUCCCACCACCUGUUGCCCCUUGCAGGUCAAAAAAUCCCACGCAGCCCAGCCGUAGCUGAUUUGACUCAUGGGGGCACCGGGCCCAAGGCCCAUCCAUUCAGAGGCUGAUCAGUGGCCAGGUGCUAAAGGUAAGGCAGGACAACCAGGUUCGCUCACUUAACAUUUUGGAAAGGAGGGAAUUGCCAGUAGGAAAUGGGAGCUGAGGCAAAAAGCUUGUGUAAGGGGUGAUAUUAAAGUUGUAAGUAGCGACGAUCAUGCUGAAGUGAUAGGGAAGCAGAAAGUGAGAGCAACUAGAAACCGAGUGGGAGAAGAUAUGCGAGAGUGGAUUGCAGAGGAAGCCAGCGGCAGUGGAGGGAAGGAAGCUGAGCCUCAUGACUGGUGGAACCCUAGAAAGUGGAAGCAGACACAGCUCCUUACUUUCCAUCACUAUCUGCUCCUCCCACCAAAAUGGGCUUUCUUUAUAGUAACACACAAGCCAUUACUGCAGAGAAUUUGAGUGAGUUUCUUAGUUAAAAAAAAACAAAAACAAAACAGAUUAUAAAGAACAGAAGAGAUGCAGAAAGAUGUUUUCGGACAGUAAACUGGCUAACAUUUAUCAGGUGCAUACUAUUGACCAGGAAUUUAAUACAUGGUUUUAUAUGCAUUAUCUUGGUUAAUCCUAACCAUUUUUAGGCGUAGACUUUUUUUUUCUUUUCUUUUCUUUUUAGGGCCGCACCCGUGGCAUAUGGAGAUUCCCAGACUAGGGAUCUAAUGGGAGCUACAGCUGCCAGCCACAGCCACAGCCACAGCAAUGACCGAUCCGAGCUGCAUCUGCAACCUACACCACAGCUUACAGUAACGCCGUAUCCUUAACCCACUGAGUGAGGCUAGGGAUCAAACCUGCAACCUCAUGGUUCCUAAUUGGAUUCAUUUCCACUGCCCCACAGUGGGGAACUCCUAGGCGUAGACUUUUUAAAAAAUUGAAGUAUAGUUGAUUUACAAUGUUGCGCAGUUUAGACUUAAUCUCUAAAAGGCAUCAAAUGUUAAGUAGCUGCCAAGGAUCACGUAGCUAGUAAGCAGGGGAGUCAGGAUUCUAAUCCAGUGCUCUUACCUGCUUUGUUCUAUUGCUUCCUGCGUAGGUGAGUCAACACUCAAGGUAAGUAUAAAUGAAAUUUCAUCUACCGUACCAAUAGUCCUUGCAGGCUAAGCUGCAAGUUCAGUAGCCUUUAUAACACUCUUUUAGUGGAGAUAAAAACACUAAACAUUUGGACCGAAAAAUACUCAGAAGUUGGUAAUUAUCUUGUUAAUGAUCAAAGAGAAGCCCAAAGAGGCUAAGGUGAGGAGUAUAAACAUAUUAAAUUGACUUAUUCUCCUACCUGAAACCAAAAAAAUGAUCUCAGCAGGUGCAGAAGUUUGUUACUUUCCAAUCCACCUCAGAGAGAAAUCUACCUCCUCCAUUUUUCUCCUGUCAGUCCCUAUAGUAUGCACAGUUCCAGUGGCCAUUAUCCCUGUCUCUAAAUAAGCAAGAACAAUAAUGUGGUCAAAGGAAGCCUGCUGCUUUUCACACUGGUAAGGCCUGGGUAAAAAGCAGAUUGUGAUUGAAUGGGGAUAAAAGUCAAAUCCCUACUGUUCCUCACCCUAAAUCCACUCUACAUGCUCUUGUUCUGUCCUAAUUAGUCUCUGUCCCAGAUAGCUACUACGCCUUUUUGGUUAAUGAAUACCCAUGGCCUCAUCAUCUCCGGUAACUGAUCCCACAGGAGGCUGGGAGAGCCUCAUCCGAGCCACCUGACAGAAGGUGCUUUUCUAUUCAUAGAUUGCUUUGUACUUAGAAUCAAUGAAAAAUUAACAACCAGUUUGUUACCUCACCUAGGAGGCAGUGGCUUGCCCAUAAUUGUACAACCAGAAAAUGUUGGAGCUGGUACUUGAAUGAGGUCUUUUGACUAUGCUAAAAACUAUGCUUCUGCUUUCUUGCCCAGUUUAAUCUUCUUCCUCUGGCGAGUCAGGGCAACAGCUAGGGUUAGAUCAGAAAUACGUAUUUACCUCCAAACCUGCUUUGUGCUUAGAUCUCAGAUGCCAGUGAACAAAGUGGGAAAAUAAUGACGAAUAAGCAGGUCAAGACUUGCUUGUAAAUUCCUGUUUUGAUGCUUCCAUUUGAGGUCAUUUUUAAGUUAGAAAAGGCUUGGGGUGAGGUGGAAAGAGAGAGAAAGAGAACAGAGUGGCAGAGCAGGAAACUAGAAUGAGACAGAAAAUAAGCAAAGUCAGUGGUUCUUAGGCUUCCAGCCCACCAGAGGAAUUUUCCGGUAGGUGUUUGACACACAUGCAGAGCACAAAUGUCAAACUUCUAGGAAUUUUGAAAUUCAAAUGUCAAGAGUUUAAGAAAUUUUAAUAACAUUUCAAAAAUACCUGAGAAAUUAGAACAUAUAGCAGAACACUAUAUACUCAGCAUUUAUCUGCAGUGGAUUUGAUAAUUUAAGAACUAUUAACAUUUUACCAUAUUGACCCGAAAAAAGGCUCAUAUGUAUAUACAGUUCCUUUUCCUCAAAAAAGGGCCAUGGCCCCGGGAAAAUUGUUUUGAUUUCAACCUUCACUACCUGACUCGUUUUUAGAGGCCCUCCUAAAAUCCUAUGGGUCUGCCAGAGUCAAGGAUCGUAAAUAGGUUUUACCUAACUUGUCAACUCUGAUCAGCUGGCUGGAAGAUUCACCCUUGAAUCCAGGCACAGAGAGAGUGUGGCGCAGGAGAGGGAGUUGGGGAAACUGAGAACUGUCCCUCCUCACAGCUCCACCUCACUAAAUCGGCUCUCUGUGCACUGUGGGACGUGCCAGUGUUCAGUCCAGCAGCAAGAAAAGCUUCCCUCCCUGCGGCUGUAAGAGACUGCAUCAUUGUAAUGCUGUGUUCGCAUCACUAAAAACGUUGAGCUGCACUACAUUCUGGGAGACCCCCGUAAUUCGUGCCUUAAAAAAAUGAGUUGUCCUUCUCUGGUUGGACUCCCUCUGCAGAAAAUUCUACCUCUAACCACUGGCCUGAUUUCCAUGUAGUUCCUCCCUGGAAAGUGUGCAGAAGUCCCCAUGGGAAGAAAUCUUUCUUCAGUUCUGAGCAUGGAGGUAAGGUCAUUUCAUUUCUUCUAGACUGGAGGAGCAAGCCUGCCUUUGCUUUUCAGACAGCUUGUUUUGCAGCAGGCCCUUUAUUAUCAUGAAAGUACAGGAUGAAAUUUUGAGCUUUUUAGUGAUAACACUGAUUAAUCAUCCCUUGGAGCCGGUGAUUGCUUCGUGGUCCCAAGGUAGGGAACCUGCUGGGUUAAAAAAAAAAAAAAAUCAUGUUGAAGAGAAUGUUUUGUUUUGUACAUUGAGUAACAGCAUUCUCUGGUGAUCUGUUAAAAUAAGGGAUGUCUGCAAAAAUGAGGAUAAGCAUCGAUGCACCCAAGAAGAUUUUUUUCUUUUCAAAUGGAAAUACAAAUUUAGGGUUGUUAUGUGCACUUUCUUGAACUUGGAAAGAGAGAAACUGAGGCAAUAUUUAUACACUCCUAGUUAGAAGAGAAAACCCUCCAUCCUACUAGUUGCUCCAGAGGUAACAGACAUUAGCCUUUCUUACUCUUCCCUUCGUCUUCCCUCCGUCCCUCCUCUCCUUCCUUUACUUCUUUUUCCUUCAUCAGGCAGAUUGGCUGAGUUUAAAUCCUAAAACCACAGCUGUAUGAGCUGUGAAAUCUGGAGCAGCUUAGUUGACCUCCAUAUGUCUUUUGCUUCAUCUGUACAACAGAGACAGGUGGUGUUUCCCUCCUGAGUUUUGUGGGGUUUUUUUGGUUUUUUUUUUUUUUUAUGAUGAUUGAGUGAGUCAGCGCGUGGAAACUUAAGGGUUCUGUCAGGCAUGUAGUAAGCCUCAGGUGGGAACACUUCUUCUGUACUCCCUGUGUUUCCUUCCAUGGGGUGGGAACUACUCUGCUGAGACACUCCCAGCCUCCCUCCCUCUCACUUGCUGGAUAUUGGCUUAAUCUGAUUAGAAUUAGAGUGAAUGAACUGGCAUGCUGGCCUCAGGCUCUUUUCCUCUCUUGGAAGUAAGUGGUUGCCUCUGCUUUUCCAAGGGAAGCCCUCGUUUGAGACUGACUCUGACCCCACUGUUGUAAUGGCAGCACAAUCAGGCUAAUUCCAGAUUGACUGUUGAGAAGGGUGGCACUGUCCUUAGCAGCAAGCAGGAGUCCUGCGCUAUGGAAUUCCUUCCUCAAGGUGUUCCAAAUCCCCCUCCAGAGCCCAGGAUUGCCUGGACAGGGAUCAGCGUGAGCCUGAGACCUGGCGUCUGCCCUCAGGGUGCCCCCACACGGUCUCCCAUGCAAGUGGAUACAAGGAGAUGCCCCAGGGGUUCCAGGGCUCAUGUCUGUGGGGUCCUUCUGGGGCCCCAUGGCCUGGUUCUUGUUCCAGGAGGAUGGACUGGCCAGGAUCUCUUUCCCCCUAACUGGCAGAGUAUUUCUUUUGUAUGAGUGGGCAAGAUUAGGCCCCUGUAAUCAUGCCGACUGGGAGUACUUCUCACUCCCAUCUCAAACAGAGCAGGUCCAGGUCUUGGCUUGAGCUGCAUGUGUGGGCCUGUGUUACUGAAGUGUGGGCACAGUGACACUCAAGGUGGGGCCAGCAGGUGUCCUUUACCCUGUUCUGUGCCCACCACUGGCUCCUAGGGCAGUCACCCACCCCAGCAGGUGGUCUCUAGGGUGGCUGUGCCAUCUCUUCUGAGGACACCUGAGACCAUUGUCUGGCUACACCAGUGGGCCCUUCCCAUCCGUGUCCUUUCCUGACUUCAGUUCUGGUGACAUCAUGCUCUCACAGGAUGGUCUUAAACUGCUGGAUGAGGGAAUCAGGUUUCUUGUGUAAAAGAAACUAUUCUCUGAUGAUAUGUGGAAGACACGGGUGUGGUCCAUAUGGAGAGAUCACAUUCCAGCCUAAAGAGUUCAAGAGAGGAUAUAGCUGGAAGAUACAUUGUUCUAUUAAUGCCAUGAAAUAAAGCAGAGUACAUUUAACAUAUCUGGAAAAUGAAUUAUUGUUCACAUUUUCCUGCCUAUUCUGGAUAAGACUUGAAUAUAUGGUCAUGAUCAGUGAAGCACGAUAACAACCUUCAAUGAAGUCACUGGAAGCUGCUAUUCACAGACCACACUUUGAAUGAUACAGCAGCAGCAAGAGUAAUAAUGUAACAGCAUCAAAUAAAUGGAAGUCUGAACUUGCAGAGGCAAGAAGACCUAUAUUGUUUUACUACAAAGAGGUUCUGAAAGCCAUGGCACCAUGAGUAAUAACGCUAUUGCUAUCACUUCCUCCCUGCAGGAGAUAUGAAAUUAGCCAGGAAUGUUGUGUAUGACAGUAAAGAACAUGAAUAAGUGGUUCCCGAACCUGGACAGAAAGAAAUGGUGCUACAUAGUAUGAAAAAUCUUCACAUGCACUGAUAGGAUCAUAAACAAAUAGGUACGUACAUCUUCUUUUCUCAUUAUUGGUUCUAAAUCUUGGUGGAUAAAUCACAAUACCUCACAUGGGUCCAUGAGUUGUAUAAUAUGUUUUUCAUAUAAUUAUUUAUAUAAACGAGGGCCCAGCAAAAAUAUUUUCAGAGUAACGUACACCCUAGGGGUUUCCCUGGAGAAAAGCAUUUGCUCAUAGAAAUAAGCCCCCUCUCCUCCCAUCUUACCUCUAUCAGUAACAGAGGUGCUAUUUUGGCCACUGUCUGCCACUCUUUUAUCUUACUCCUCAAUUUGUUUUGAAUUUGGGAAAGGUAAGGGGGGUGCUAUUUAUUCAAAAUUUCUCCAAGUUUCUAAUAGUAAGCAUCAAAGUUAUCAUCAUGUUUUAAGCAUUUGGGUUACAUUUUUUAAUACAUUGAGGUAUAAUUGACGUAUAACAUUAUGUGUAUGUUAUAUGUGUAACUACAUGUUGUGUAGUUUCACCUACACAAUGUAAUGAUUUAGUAUUUGCAUAUAUUGCAAAAAUGAUCACCACAAUAAGUCUAGUUAACAUCCAUCAUCAUAUACAUACUUAAAAUUUUUUUUUCCUUGUAAUAGGGAUUCCUAAGGUUUGCAAAUAUUUUCCCCCAUUCAGUGUGCUCUCUUUUCAUUUUGUUGAAAAUUUCCUUUGCUGUGCAGAGCAUUUUUGGUUUGAUACAGUCCCACUUGUUUAUUUUUGCUUUUGGAGUCAAAUAAAAAAAAAAAAUCAUUGCCAAGACUGAGUCAGGAGCUUAUUCUUGACUAUUUAUUCCAGGAGUGUCAUGGUUUCAGUUCUUACAGUGAAGUCUUUAAUCCAUUUUGAUUUUUGUGUAUAGUGCAGGGUAAUGGUCUAGUUUCAUUAUUUUGCACAUGGCUGUCUAGUGUUCCCAAUAACUUUUAUUGACAAGACUGUCCUUUCCCAAUUGGGUAUUCAUGGAUCCUUUAUCAUAAAUGAAUUGACUAUAUGAUAUGUGUUUAUUUCUAGGCUCUCUCUUCUGUUCCAUUGAUCUAUCUCUGAGUUUUUAAUGCCAGUACAAUAUAGUUUAAAUUACCAUAGCUUUGUAAUAUAGUUGAAGAUUAGAAAGAAUUAUGCUGCCUCCUUUGCUCGUCUUUCUCAAGUUUGCUUUAGCUAUCAGGGUAUUUUGUAUUUCUAUACAUAUUUUAGGCUUGUUCUAUUUCUAUGAAAAAAUGCCACUGGAAUUUUGACAAGGAUUGCAUUGAAUCUCUACAUUUCUUUGAGUAGUAGGUACAUUUUAAUAAACAUUAUUAAUUCUUACUGUUCAUG
rnacentral:lncRNA from 1 species